UCUCCAAAACGAAAUUUUUUUUCGCUAUUUCUAGUAAACUAUUUCCAACUGUAUAUACAAUUUACUUAACCACCAAUAAUGCAGGAAAUGGUUGAUUCAACACUUUACAAUUUCCGGAAUUCAUUUUCCGUUUCCGCUAACAUUCCGAAGGAUUCAAAAAAGUGAGGAAAUCGCCCGUGGGAUGAUGGGAGUUUUCACGCUUUCUUGCCAUGGACGUCAUCUGUCGAAUUCUAAAUACAGUAAAGCGCAUUGCUGCACGUACUUCGAAAUGAAGGACUUUAUUGACACUUUUUAUUAUUAUACAACUUUCCAUCCGAUUCGCUCCAUAGAAAUGCUGGCAAUCGAUGAAUUCAAUCUCAGACGAUAUAUUACUUUAUACCAG
rnacentral:lncRNA from 1 species